rnacentral:lncRNA from 1 species
CUGCUGGCCCCCCUACUUCUGAGGAAGCACAGUUCCCGCUCAGCCCAGUCAAAACUGUUCGCUGCUCUGGCACCCCUAUGGUGGAACAAGCUCCCUCAUGACGCCAGGACAGCGGAGUCAAUCACCACCUUCCGGAGACACCUGAAACCCUCCCCCCCCCUAAAAGAUUUAGAUGCACUAUUGUAAAGUGGUUGUUCCACUGGAUAUCAUAAGGUGAAUGCACCAAUUUGAAAGUCGCUCUGGAUAAGAGCGUCUGCUAAAUGACUUAAAUGUAAAUGUAAAUGUAACAGAGUAGAAGGGGAGUAGAAUGUUGUCUGUAGUGUUUAACAGAGUAGGAGGGGAGGGGAAUAGAGUGUUCUCUGCAGUGUUUUAAAGAGUAUAAAGGGAGUAGAGUAGAGUGUUGUCUGCAGUGUUUAACAGAGUAGGAGGGGAGUAGAGUAGAGUGGUGACUGUAGUUUUUGACAGAGUAGGAGUGGAGUAGAGUUUUGUCUGUAGUGUUUAACAGAGUAGGGGGGGGGUAGAGUGUUGUCUGUAGUGUUUAACAGAGUAGAAAGGGAGUAGAGUAGAGUGUUGUUUGUCGUGUUUAACAGAGUAGGAGAGGAGUAGAGUAGAGUGUUGUCUGUCGUGUUUAAAAGAGUAGGAGGGGAGUAGAGUGUUGUCUGUAGUGUUUAAUAGAGUAGGAGGGGAGUAGAGUAGAGUGUUGUCUCUAGUGUUUAACAGAGUAGAAGGGGAGUAGAUUGUUCUCUGUAGUGUUUAACAGAGUAGAAGGGGAGUAGAGUGUUCUCUGCAGUGUUUAACAGAGAAGGAGAGGAAUAGAGUAUAGUGAUGUCUGUCGUGUUUAACAGAGUAGGAGGGGAGUAGAGUAGAGUGGUGACUGUAGUUUUUAACAGAGUAGGAGUGGAGUAGAGUGUUGUCUGUAGUGUUUAACAGAGUAGGAGUGGAUUCGAGUAUUGUCUGUAUUGUUUAACAGAGUAGGAGGGGAGUAGAGUAGCGUGUUGUCUGUAGUGUUUAACAGAGUAGAAAGGGAGUAGAGUAGAGUGUUGUUUGUAGUGUUUAACAGAGUAGGAGAGGAGUAGAGUAGUGUGUUGUCUGUCAUGUUUAAAAGAGUAGGAGGGGAGUAGAGUGUUGUCUGUAGUGUUUAAAAGAGUAUAAAGGGAGUACAGUAGAGUGUUGUCUGUAGUGUUUACCAGAGUAGGAGGGGAGUAGAGUGUUCUCUGUAGUGUUUAACAGAGUAGGAGGGUAGAGUAGAGU